AACAAACGAACGUUAGCGAGGACAGUUGCUUUCCACUCUCUGUCAAAUACCUAAUUUGAUGCGUGAUUAGUGAAACAAUGUAAUUUGUGCCGUUUUGGUUUUGAUUCCGUUGAUAAUGGCUUCAAAAAAAAUGAAGAUAGAAGAAGAAAAUAGGGCAUUUAAGGAUGCAUGGACAGAUUUAUACUUUUUUAUUAAUUGCAAUUGCAAACCGAUAUGCUUAAUAUGCCAAAAAACCCUUACUAUACAAAAAGAAUAUAAUGUCAAACACCACUAUGAUAGCGAGCAUAAAGCUAAAUUUGCAUGCCUAGUAGGUUAAUCACGAAAAAAUAAAAUGAACGCACUGAAAUCUUUAGUUAGGAACCAACAAAAUGUUUUUAAGGUUCAAGUACCAAGUAACGAGUCCAGUAUACGUGCAAGUUUAAGGGUAGCGGAAAUUCUUGCGAGGUCUGGCCGACCAUUUACCGACAGCGAACUUAUAAAACAAUGUGCUUUAGUCAUGGCUGAGGAGGUGUGCCCCGACCUAAAAAAAAAAAUUGAAAAUAUAAGCCUUUCUGCAAGAAUAUGUACUCGGCGAGCUGAAGAUUUGAGCGAUAAUUUAUGUCAGCAACUCCGGGAAAAAGCACAACAAUUUGAAUGAUUCUCUUAAGCGAUGAAAGCAAUGAUGUUACUGAUACUGAGCAGCCUUUAAUAUUUGUCCGCGAAAUCGAUAAGAAUUUUAAUGUAUAUGAGGAGGUUUUAUAGUUAUUUAGUUUGAAGGGCACGACUACCGGAGAAGAUUUGUUUUGUAACUUAGAACAAGCGCUAGUAUUAAUGCAGUUGCCAUAGGAAAAACAGGUAAGUGUUACAACUGACGGUGGCAGAAACACGAGUGGACAAAAUAAGGGUUUGGUAGGUAGAAUUAAAUCGAAACUGGCAGAGAUAGGAUGUGCCAUCCCAUUAUUUUGCCAUUGCAUCAUACACCAAGAAGCGUUAUGUUCCAAGGUCGUAUCAUGGAGAGGAGUAAUGGACAUCGUGGUAUCGACUGUAAACUACAUCAGAAAAAAUGGAUUGACUCAUCGUCAAUUUCAACAGUGUCUGUCAGAUACGGAAGCUGAUCAUCGAGAUGUUGUUUGUUAUUCUGAAGAAGGAUGGUUAAGUAGAGGCGCAGUGCUGAAAAGAUUUUUUGAUCUCAGAAAAAAAAUCAAUACUUUUUUGAAUGAAAAAGGCAGAUCUAUUCCAGAGUUGACAGAUACUCAAUGGUUGAUAGACCUUGGAUUUUUGACAGAUGUCACUCAUGUAUUAAAUACGCUAAAUUUGAGGUUUCAAGGAAAAAAAAACUAAUUUCUGAUACGCACACAGACGUAAAAGCAUUUCAAAUGAAAAUUAAACUCUAUAAAGCAUAUUGAUGAAAAAAAGUUAGAUCAUUUUCCGAAAUGUAAAGAUGCUGUUGAGGAAGCUAGAAUUAAUUUUCAUUGGAACGGUGAUAACAUGAAGGAUAUGUGAAUGCAAUUGCAAACUCAAUUCAGCGAGAGAUUUUGUGAUUUUGAAAAAGUUUCCAGCAAACUGAAGGUGUUUGCAAACCCUUUUUCAUAUGAUAUUAAGAAAGUACCGAGUAAUUUACAAAUGAACAUGAUUCAUCUCCAACCUAAUGAUGUUCUUAAAAGCACUUUCUAUGAACUCAAUGAUCUUAUUAAGUUUUAUGGUAGCUUGCCUUCUGAUUUUGACGAAUUGAAAAAGUUUGCUAAGCAAUUCAUUACAAUUUUUGGUACAACCUAUUUAUGUGAAGAAACUUUUUCAAUUGUCAAUUAUUAGAAAAAAUAAAUAUGCAUCACGUCUCACAGAUGAGCAUUUGAGAGCUAUUCUACGAAUUGUAACUACAAAUAUGACAGCCAACAUACAACAAAUAGCCUCCUACAUACAACCUAUUUUAAAUUUGUAAUUUUGUAAUUUUUAAUUUCGUUAUUUUCUAAAUAUAAACUUAAUGUAAUUACGUGUACGAAUAAAAUACCGUAUGUUUUAAAAAUUUGAA